CGGCGCCACAAGUGGUGAUCAUGUUUAUUGGGCCUAAAGCGUCCGUAGCCGGUUUAGCAAAUCUUUUGUGAAAUCGUCAGGCUUAACUUGACGAAUUGCAGAAGACACUACUAAACUCGGGACCGGGAGGAGUCAGAAGUAUUCAGGGGGGACCGGUAAAAUGGUAUAAUCCCCUGAGGACUACCGAUGGCGAAGGCAUCUGACCAGAACGGAUCCGACGGUGAGGGACGAAAGCCAGGGGAGCAAACCGGAUUAGAUACCCGAGUAGUCC
rnacentral:rRNA from 1 species